rnacentral:misc_RNA from 1 species
AUUAGUGGUGUAGCCUAGUUCUCUUGUAUUACCACCUGCUUCCCCAUAUUCUUUUAUUUUUGACGAUAAAUGCACUUGACUAACAAUUCAUGCAAUAUACAAGCUUCAAUUAAUUGAAUGUCCAUUGUGUUUCAUGAUGAGCCAAUCUUUAGUCCCUGUUUCCUUUAUAGCGUCAUCUUUUAGAUAAAGAAACAAGGGAAAGAGUCUAUGAG